UGUCGUAGUGACUGACUCAGCUGUGGCCCAUUCUGAAUUAAAGAUUGUUAUGAUGUUUUCAUCUCAAGUGACUGUCCAUUGAGCCUGUUCGUUACUUUUCGCUCUUUGUGACGUCAUGUAGAUCGAUAUUUUCGGACUCGCACCUGUAAUACACGAUCUACAAUUAUCAAGGACCUUUGGUAGGUCAAAAACAGGAGAGAGAUAUACAGAAAAGAUCAGUAAUUGGAGGUGCAACACUUGGCACAAGUUUAGCUGUUUGCCCAGGGUGAAGAAGGCGUGACUAAAAUACUAAAGUUAGUUGAAGCAGAGCUUGCAAAGUUAAAGAUAAAGUAUGCUGAGCUGGAACAUUCUCAAGAGAUAAAGAAUAAGCAGCUUAAACAAGCGAAGGACAAUCGAAAAAUGGCUCUGAACAAGAAGGACUAAAUAAUCGAGGUCAAAAGAGUUUUAGAAAUAUCAAGAAAGUGCAAAAUUCUCUUCUUAACAAAACAUUGAUUGAAAUUGUAAAAAAAAAAAAAAACUUAAGACUUUGUUUAUAAAACACAUUUUUUUUCCUCUAGCUUCUAAAACGGGAGCUUCAAGAAUUAAGAGAAGCAACAAACAACUGAAAUAAAUCAGCCAAAAGUUCCUCAUUCUUCCCUUUUGAUUACCUGAGGCACUCACUUGGAUGGCUGCCUGGUCGUGCGGUUUGCGCGCUGGAGUGUCGUUCGGAUUUAUCGACGGUCUAGUGUUCAAACCCUGCCCGCUCCCAUCCCCCGUUGUCCUGCGGGAGGUUUGGACUAGGAAGUAAACUAUCUUCAACUCUGAAGGAACAUCCGAAACAUGUCAAACAAAACAAGCCUGUAAUUUUGUUUAAGACUAAUGCAAGGCCUUGGAAAUUGUUUCUAAGGAGGAAGAAGACACAUGUC